ensembl:misc_RNA Metazoa_SRP Metazoan signal recognition particle RNA
GCUGGGCGCAGUGGUGUGGGCGUGUAGUCCCAGCUACUUGGGAGGCUGAGGCCGGAGGAUCGCUUGAGUCCAGGAGUUCUGGGCUGUUGUGCGCUAUGCCAAUCGGGUGUCCGCACUAAGUUCGGCAUCAAUAUGGUGAUCUCCCGGGAGUGGGGGACCACCAGGUUGCCUAAGGAGGGGUGAACUGGCCCAGGUUGGAAAACUAUAAUGGUGUUGUGUUGUACAAUGUGAAUUAAUGCUACAACUAGUACUCAAACAGUAUUUUACACUUUGUGUUUCU